rnacentral:sRNA from 17 species
AAGCUCCUAGGAGCUUUUUUAUUUUCCCAUUACUUGAAUUCUUGUUUAUUCCUAAAAAAUAGGCUAUAAUAAAGCAUAGCAUUUAAUUUUAGAAAGAAGGUGUAAGU